rnacentral:rRNA from 1 species
AUUGAACGCUGGCGGCAUGCCUUACACAUGCAAGUCGAACGGUAACAGGUCUUCGGAUGCUGACGAGUGGCGAACGGGUGAGUAAUACAUCGGAACGUGCCCGAUCGUGGGGGAUAACGAAGCGAAAGCUUUGCUAAUACCGCAUACGAUCUACGGAUGAAAGCAGGGGACCGCAAGGCCUUGCACGAACGGAGCGGCCGAUGGCAGAUUAGGUAGUUGGUGGGAUAAAAGCUUACCAAGCCGACGAUCUGUAGCUGGUCUGGGAGGACGACCAGCCACACUGGGACUGAGACACGGCCCAGACUCCUACGGGAGGCAGCAGUGGGGAAUUUUGGACAAUGGGCGAAAGCCUGAUCCAGCCAUGCCGCGUGCAGGAUGAAGGCCUUCGGGUUGUAAACUGCUUAUGUACGGAACGAAAAGACUCUGGUUAAUACCUGGGGUCCAUGACGGUACCGUAAGAAUAAGCACCGGCUAACUACGUGCCAGCCGCCGCCGUAACAC